rnacentral:rRNA from 1 species
AGAAUCAACGCUGGCGGCGUGCCUAACACAUGCAAGUCGAACGAGAAGGUGGAGCAAUCCAUGAGUAAAGUGGCGACCGGGUGAGUAACACGUGACUAACCUACCUUCGAGUGGGGGAUAACCUCGGGAAACCGGGGCUAAUACCGCAUAAUAUCCACGGAUCAAAGGAGCAAUUCGCUUGAAGAGGGGUCGCGGCUGAUUAGUUAGUUGGCGGGGUAAUGGCCCACCAAGACAAUGAUCGGUA